AAAGCGAAAAGUACAAUUUACAACCAAAACUGGAAGGGGCAAACAACAAAAGAUAAAUACUUGAUUUUUCAAGCAUACAACAAGAGGAAAUGAGUUUAGAACUGCAUCUAGCAACAUUCUAAGAGUCCAUAUAAUUAUCAUAUUCUCCAGUGCAGAUUUGAUAGGCCGUUAAGGCAUACAGAACAAGAUUAUACAUUCUAUGGUUUGGCAUCUCCAUGAACCCUGAUUAAUUCUUUAUAUGUCAGCACCUUAUGAGACCCCCAACAGCUUCUUUAUGUCAUGCUCGAGACUCAAAGGUGAAGUUGUGGGAUAGUAACGAUCUACAACUUGUCCAUCCUUAUUGACAAGGAAUUUGGCAAAGUU
rnacentral:misc_RNA from 1 species